rnacentral:rRNA from 1 species
UACGUAGGGGGCUAGCGUUGUCCGGAAUCAUUGGGCGUAAAGAGCGUGUAGGCGGCCCGGUAAGUCCGCUGUAAAAGUCAAAGGCUCAACCUUUGAAUGUCAGUGGAUACUGCCGGGCUAGAGUACAGAAGGGGCAACUGGAAUUCUCGGUGUAGCGGUGAAAUGCGUAGAUAUCGAGAGGAACACCUGCGGCGAAGGCGGGUUGCUGGGCUGAUACUGACGCUGAGGCGCGAAAGCCAGGGGAGCGAACGGG